rnacentral:pre_miRNA from 1 species
CUUGAGUUGUCUCUCAUGUCUAGACCAUUUGUGAGAAGGGAUUUUUAUUUUAUUUGCACCGUUCACACCACCAAUUUCUAAAUCUGCCAUAAGUAUUAUAUAUGCCCAAGUUAGGAAAAUAGCUUGUUCAACAUAUCACACAACCCUUUUAAUUAAAAACAAUUCCAUAUAUCAGAUGCCUCUACGGCUUGAAAUAUAUUGUUUUCUUAUGUAGUUAUGUAUACUCUUGGAGUAGUUUCUUGUGUAUCUUUAGAUAUUCGCUAGCCGCCUAGGAUUUUUAAGCUACCAAAACGUUAAGAAAUUAGUGAAAUGUUCCCAAACCGCAUUUUUUAAAAAGGUCAGUUUAUAGGUCACAGCCAUUAGAGUCGCACUCACCUCCUUUUUAAGUUGUUUGAUUUCUUCCAUGGUCCAUGAAAAUCUGAUACUUUAGAAGUUAGGUAUAAAGGUAAGUACUUAAGGUGCAUUUCAUGACUUUUCUUGAUGCUGCGUACAUAACUUUUUUCAUUCGUAUCAGCCGGGUUUAGUUCAAGCUGAGAACUCCAAAUCAUAUAGAAUUUGACACUUUGGACAUGCAUUUUGCCUAGUAGAUCUCAAAGUUCUGUCUGGAGUGUCCGAGGUUUUUCCAUGAUAGCUAAGAAUUUUUUAUCUUACACAAUAAACUAUACUAGUUUUCCUAAGAAAAAAAAAUGGGGAAUGGGGAGGUGUUGGGUAAAUUCCCUUCUCAUCGAUGGUCUAGAUUUGCGAGGUGACUCUCAUGGAGG